rnacentral:rRNA from 1 species
UAUGUGAUCGUCUCUCGCAUAUCAAUAAGCGGAGGAAAAGAAACUAACAAGGAUUCCCCUAGUAACGGCGAGCGAAGCGGGAAGAGCUCAAAUUUGAAAUCUUAAAGGGUUUCCCUUUACGAAUUGUAGUUUAAAGAAGUGUUUCCUGAUGAGGUUUUGGUAAAAGUUCUUUGGAAUAGGACAUCAUAGAGGGUGAGAAUCCCGUAUUUGACCUUUACUUUCAACUUUGUGAUACACUUUCAAAGAGUCGGAUUGUUUGGGAAUGCAGUCCAAAAUGGGUGGUAAAUUUCAUCUAAAGCUAAAUAUUGGCGAGAGGCCGAUAGCGAACAAGUACCGUGAGGGAAAGAUGAAAAGAACUUUGAAAAGAGAGUUAAACAGUACGUGAAAUUGUCAAAAGGGAAGCGUUUGACACCAGUGUUGUUUUUCUGAAAAUCAAUUAAAGAACUGUUUAUGCUAAGCUGUUUAGACUUUAUCAGCUAUCUGCUUAGUUUUGAGCUUUCUCUUUAAUGCACUUUUCAGUUAACAAGUCAACAUCAAUUUCUUUCGCUGUAAAAAAGCUUGAGGAAGGUGGCUUGAGAUUCGUCUUAAGUGUUUAUAGCCUCUUGCCUAUGCAGUCGGAGAGAUUGAGGUCUGCAGCGUAGAUCCUUCGGGGCUAAAUGCAUUUGUGCUAAGUUAUAGCAUUUUAUAGACAACUUGUUGACUAUGAUUUGUCUUGUAGCUUACUCGCUUAUGUUAUUUUACCUACGCUUAGGAUGUUGAUCUACAGAGCGAGAGU